CCUACGGGGUGCAGCAGUGAGGAAUAUUGGGCAAUGGGGGCAACCCUGACCCAGCCAUGCCGCGUGAGUGAAGAAGGUCUUCGGAUUGUAAAGCUCUUUCGGCCGUGACGAUGAUUACGGUAGCGUCUCACUACUCACCGGCAAACUUCGUGCCAGCAGCCGCGGUCAUACGAAGGGUGCGAGCGUUGUUCGGAAUUACUGGUCGUAAAGGGAGUGUAGGCGGAUAUGUAAGAUAGCGGUGAAAUGCCGGGGCUCAACCCCGGAACUGCCAUUAUGACUAUGUAUCUAGAGUAAUGGAGAGGAGAGCGGAAUACCCAGUGUAGAGGUGAAAGUCGUAGAUAUUGGGUAGAACACCGGUGGCGAAGGCGGCUAUCUGGCCAUUGACUGACGCUGAGGCUCGAAAGCAUGGGGAUCAAACAGGAUUAGAUACCCUUGUAGUC
rnacentral:rRNA from 1 species